CCCCUCCCUUGACACACACAAACAUUGAGUAGGCUUAUAAAACAUGUAAACAGCAAUGCAGCAUAAUCAACCAGAACACUUUAGUGCUUCCUCUGAUACAGAAUAACCAAUAAGCAAUGGAGGGCGUGUGGGGAUAGGGUUGGGGCUCAUCUCAGUGCUAGAGGCGGUCACUACAGACCCUGGUUCGAUCCCGGGCUGUAUCACAAACUGGCUGUGAUCGUGAGUCCCAUAGGGCGGAGCACAAUUGGCCCUAGCAUUGUCCGGGUUAGGGGAGGGUUUGGCCAUCAUUGUAAAAUAAGAAUGUGUUAUUAAUUGACUUGCCUAGUUCAAUAAAAGGUUAAAAAUAAAUGUUUUAAAAAAAAGUAGCCUACCUGUUUGAAGGGGAUUUAGAAGGCCUUUAUUAAUGCCAAGAAUCGACUCCUGAAUGUGGCAGCAAAAAACAUCUCUGAAAUUCUAUCCCUUAUCUUCAUGGAAUAAUGUAAAGCAAAGCGUGACUGGUCCAGUCCUGGUCGAGUCCACUUGGACUGCACCUAUACGGUGAGGGUGUCUGUAUCAUACCGACACGUUGAUCAUGAUGAGAAGCAAAACUAACAAGCAGCGAGCAACAGAAUAACACGUCCCAUUCAUAGCCUGUUGCCUGUUCGGGCGAGUGAACAUAUAUCACAAUAACACAACACUGUGUGGCGGCAACGUGGCUGGCUCGCCUCUUCCGAGAGAGUUGAUUCAGCACAGCAACACAAGACCAAGCGCACUGCACCGACCAGGCAUUAGGACCGGACUUUGUGGAAGAAGCGAGGGAAAACAAAACACACCUUCCUUUCCUUAGAUCUAUUCAUAGUUCCUUGCGGUCCGGUACCAUCAAUUCAGAAUGAACAGUUUAAAAUAAAUUUAAAAAAUCGCAGUACAAUCUCUACACUGCCCUGGGGUAGACCGGUAUAAUGGGAAACCAAUGGAGAUGUUCUGACUUUCACACACACACUCCGGUUCGUUCCUCUGCGUCUGUCAAACCCUCCGGUUCGUUCCUCUGCGCCUGUCAAACCCUCCGGUUCGUUCCUCUGCGCCUGUCAAACCCUCCGGUUCGUUCCUCUGCGUCUGUCAAACACUCCGGUUCGUUCCUCUGCGUCUGUCAAACACUCCGGUUCGUUCCUCUGAUAUCAGCAUCAGAAUGUUCCAUGUGCUCGCCUUCCAUGCAGCAUCCAAACCCGCGACUGGGAGAGAGAUAUAGCCUAGAAAUAACAUAUGUGGAGAGGUUUUCUUUAUCCCAGGUUGGUAAUCAGAAGAUAAAGAAAGAAGCUUCGCUUGCAAGUUUCUUCAUCUUCCAGCAUGGGGGGGGGGGAGAGAGAGAGAGAGAGAGAGAGAGAGAGAGAGAGAGAGAGAGAAAGAGAGGCUAUAUAACAUAAAGGCCUAUUCACCAGGGAUAGAGAUAGAGAGAGAGAGAGCACGCAACGCACAUGCUCU
rnacentral:lncRNA from 1 species